GACGAACGCUGGCGGCGUGCUUAACACAUGCAAGUCGAACGGAAAGGCCCUGCUUUUGUGGGGUGCUCGAGUGGCGAACGGGUGAGUAACACGUGAGUAACCUGCCCUUGACUUUGGGAUAACUUCAGGAAACUGGGGCUAAUACCGGAUAGGAGCUCCUGCUGCAUGGGGGGGGUUGGAAAGUUUCGGCGGUUGGGGAUGGACUCGCGGCUUAUCAGCUUGUUGGUGGGGUAGUGGCUUACCAAGGCUUUGACGGGUAGCCGGCCUGAGAGGGUGACCGGCCACAUUGGGACUGAGAGACGGCCCAGACUCCUACGGGAGGCAGCAGUGGGGAAUAUUGCACAAUGGGCGGGAGCCUGAUGCAGCAACGCCGCGUGCGGGAUGACGGCCUUCGGGUUGUAAACCGCUUUCGCCUGUGACGAAGCGUGAGUGACGGUAAUGGGUAAAGAAGCACCGGCUAACUACGUG
rnacentral:rRNA from 1 species